CCUACGCGCGGCAGCAGUAGGGAAUAUUGCUCAAUGGGGGAAACCCUGAAGCAGCAACGCCGCGUGGAGGAUGAAGGUUUUCGGAUUGUAAACUCCUUUUGUUAGAGAAGAUAAUGACGGUAUCUAACGAAUAAGCACCGGCUAACUCCGUGCCAGCAGCCGCGGUAAUACGGAGGGGGCAAGCGUUACUCGGAAUCACUGGGCGUAAAGAGCGCGUAGGCGGGAUAGCAAGUCAGAUGUGAAAUCCUAUGGCUUAACCAUAGAACUGCAUUUGAAACUGUUAUUCUAGAGUAUGGGAGAGGUAAGUGGAAUUCUUGGUGUAGGGGUAAAAUCCGUAGAGAUCAAGAGGAAUACUCAUUGCGAAGGCGACCUGCUAGAACAUAACUGACGCUGAGGCGCGAAAGCGUGGGUAGCAAACAGGAUUAGAUACCCCAGUAGUC
rnacentral:rRNA from 1 species